UCCGUAGGUGAACCUGCGGAAGGAUCAUUAGUGAAUAACCUGGGACCCUGUCCCAAACCAUCUCACAUCUACACACCUCUGUGCACCGUUGGACGGGCUUGAUCCUCAAGUCAUGUCCUUUUAAUAUAUAAACACUUGUAUCAGUAAGGAAAGUCAAAUGGAAUAAAAUAAAACUUUCAACAACGGAUCUCUUGGCUCUCACAUCGAUGAAGAACGCAGCGAAAUGCGAUAAGUAAUGUGAAUUGCAGAAUUCAGUGAAUCAUCGAAUCUUUGAACGCAACUUGCGCUCCUUGGCAUUCCGAGGAGCAUGCCUGUUUGAGUGUUAUGAAACUAUCAAGCUACAAAUGUUCUUGUUAGCAUUUGUUGGUUUGGACAUUGGAUGCUUUGCUGGACAAUAUUGUACAGCUCAUCCGAAAUUUAUUAGCUGGUCUAAAUACCUUGGACUAUAUCCACUUGGCGUGAUAAGUAUCACCCGCUGAGGACUUGUUCAUUGGAGGUUGACUGCUUCUAGUAACCCAAUUAUAUUUGAAUCAUCUGACCUCAAAUCAGGGGGUAGGGGACUACCCGGCUGGAACUUAAGGCAUAUCAAUAAGGCGGGGAGGGGAAGGUCGGACUGGCCAAGGGGCACACAGGGGGGGGGGAUA
rnacentral:rRNA from 1 species